rnacentral:rRNA from 1 species
CUAGCUGUAAACGACGGAUACUAGGCGUUGAGAGUAUCGACCCUCUCAGUGUCGUAGCUAACGCGUUAAGUAUCCCGCCUGGGGAGUACGCGCGCAAGCGUGAAACUCAAAGGAAUUGACGGGGGCCCGCACAAGCGGUGGAGUAUGUGGUUUAAUUCGAUGCAACGCGAAGAACCUUACCAGGGCUUGACAUGUCCGGAACCCUGCCCAAAGGCGGGGGUGCCUACGGGAACCGGAACACAGGUGGUGC